rnacentral:lncRNA from 1 species
AUAAUCUCUAAUGAGUUUGAAUGUCCCUCUGGUGUCUGUCGCCUUUCUAUUUCAAGGGUCAGUCACUUUUUUUCACAAUUCAUAUCGUUUGUUCGCUACCUUGAAAUGAUAUAUCCUAUUGUGUGCAUUGAAUCAUGCAUGAAUAUGCAUGAUAUAAUUGUCACUGGAAGAUAAACAAACAAUAAUAAACUAUCAAUGAAUAGCGUUUCAGACGCACAGAGUUUAAACACUCUGUUAUUUUAACUAUCCUUAACUAAAUCGAUACUAUUGAGAUUUCCAAAGAGUUUAUCAAAGAGUUUUUAUUUAUCACUUUGACAGCAUACAAUGUAAUAGGAAGC